rnacentral:rRNA from 1 species
CUUGCUUCCACUGAGAAGAUAGUGGCGAACGGGUGAGUAACACGUGGGUAACCUGCCCGAUAAGAAGGGGGAUAACAUCCGGAAACGGGUGCUAAUACGCAUAGUUUCUUGAUCGCAUGAUCGGGAAGGAAAGACGGCCUUUGUGCUGUCGCUUAUGGAUGGACCCGCGGCGUAUUAGUUAGUUGGUGAGGUAACGGCUCACCAAGACGAUGAUACGUAGCCGACCUGAGAGGGUGAUCGGCCACAUUGGGACUGAGACACGGCCCAAACUCCUACGGGAGGCAGCAGUAGGGAAUCUUCCGCAAUGGACGAAAGUCUGACGGAGCAACGCCGCGUGAGUGAAGAAAGGUUUUCGGAUCGUAAAACUCUGUUGUCAGAGAAGAACAAGUUGGAGAGUAACUGCUCCAGCCUUGACGGUAUCUGACCAGAAAGCCACGGCUAACUACGUGCCAGCAGCCGC